rnacentral:lncRNA from 1 species
AUUUGUUCAAUUAUUAUUAUUAUUAUUAUUAUUAUUUGCAGUUUGUUUGUCAAGUCCAAGCAAAACUGAGUGCAGCUGUGAGAAUCAGUAUAUCUGGUCCUCUGAACAAUGCUCUAAACAUGGUGUUUGUGACUACAGUCAAAAUAACACAUGUGGAUGCAUCACUUCUCUUCCAACUGAUAGGUCAUUCUGUCGGCCACCACCAGGUACAAUAAACUUUUUUUUUUUUCAUUUUGACAUGGUUUCUGAACGGAUAAUUAUUUUCAUUUUGUUACAUUUUUUCAGCUUACAUGAAGUCAUUCAGAUACACCAUUUACAUAAAAGUUAAUGCUUCAAAUAAAGCUGUGAUCGACCGUUUAAGGGCAAUGAUCAGUGGACCGAAAUUUCCAAUGUGUGUCAAGAAAGGCAUAAAAAUAUCCAGUACAAACAUCACUACAGGUGAGAGAAACAUGAUAAGAGUAAUGAUAUUUUGAUAUAUAUAUAUAUAUAUAUAUAUAUAUAUAUAUAUAUAUAUAUAUAUAUAUAAUUUAAAUACUAUUUUUUGUUUGUUUUGCAGUUUGUCUCUCAAAUAUGAGCAAAACUGAGUGCAGCUGUGAGAAUCAGUACAUCUGGUCCUCUGAUCAAUGCUUUAAAUAUGCGGUUUGUGGCUCAAGUCAAAAUACCAGAUGUGGAUGCAUCACUUCUCUCUUCUCAACUGAUGGGUCAUUCUGCCGACCACAACCUGGUACACAAGUCUCUGUUUUUCUAGUCUUUCUUAUAGUUCAUCAUUUUAAUUUUUGUAAAUUUUGUUUCAGCUUACUUAAAGUCAUUCAGAUACACCAUUGAAAUAAAAGCCAACACUUUAAGAAAAGCUGUAAUCGACCAAUUGAAGGCGAUGAUCAAUGGACAGAAAUCUCCAAUUUGUGUCAAGAAAGACAUGAAAAUCUCCAGUGCAAACAUCACUACAGUUUGUCUCUCAAAUUCAAGCAAAACUGAGUGCAGAUGUGAGAAUCAGUACAUCUGGUCCUCUGAACAAUGCUCUAAACAUGGCGUUUGUGGUCCAAUUCAAAAUAAUACAUGUGGAUGCAUCACUUCUCUCCCAACUGAUGGAACAACAUGUCAUCCAGCACCAGCUCCCUUGAAAUCAUUCAGAUACACCAUUGAUAUAAAAGUUAAUGCUUCAGAAAAGGCUGUAAUCGACCGUUUGAGGGCGAUGAUCAGUGGACAGAAACUCCCAAUGUGCAUCAAGAAAGGCAUGAAAAUAUCCAGUACAAACAUCACUACAGGUAAGAGAAAUAGGAGAAGAGUAAUGACAUUCUGUCCACAUUACUGGCGUAGUAGACCUGUCAAAUGUCUGCGUCAAUUCAUUUAA